rnacentral:rRNA from 1 species
AUGUAUAGCAUUGCUACUUGCACCAUUGUAAAAAUGAUGCAAGAUCGACUAUGUUGAAUAAAAUUCUAGGUAGAAUUUUGAUAAUGACAUUAUCUACCUAUGUGUCUUGACCAAAUUACGUGCCAGCAGUCGCGGUAAUACGUAGAAGACUAGUGUUAUUCAUGUUUAAUCGGUUUAAAGGGUACCUAGACGGCAGAUCAAGCUUACAAUAAAUGAAAAACAAAAGAAAAGGACUAAUCUGCUAGAGUUACUUCUGAGGGGGCUAUAAGCUGCCACAUAAAAGAGAUGAAAUUCUAUGAUACCUUUUUUCGAAAGAAAAGCUAUGGCACAGGUAUAGGCGAAGGCAUCCCCUUAUGUGAUAACUGACGUUGAGGGACGAAGGCUUUGAUUAACGAACAGGAUUAGAUACCCUGGUAGUUGAGGCAGUAAAUGAUGAAUGUCAUAGAUUAGAUAUAUAAGUUUAUUCUAUAAAUGAAAGUGUAAGCAUUCCACCUCAAGAGUAAUUUGGCAACAUUGGAACUGAAAUCAUUAGACCGUUUCUGAAACCAGUAGUGAAGUAUGUUGUUUAAUUUGAUAAUCCGCAAAAAACCUUACCACAACUUGAAUAUUUAUAUUGUUUAUUGUUAUCUCAUUAAUUUUCUUCCUUUUAUUUCAUACUUGAACAAUUGAAUUAAAAAAAAAUCAAUAGUAGAAACAUAAAAUUUUAUAUUGAUGUAAACAGGAUAAAAUUUAUGUGAGGCAAUAACAUAUAUUUACAGCGUUGCACGGCUGUCUUCAGUUAAUGUCGCGAG